GGAUUAGAUACCCUGGUAAUCCUGGCCGUAAACGAUGGGUACUAGGUGUUGGGGGUAUCGACCCCUCCAGUGCCGGAGUUAACGCAAUAAGUACCCCGCCUGGGGAGUACGGCCGCAAGGUUGAAACUCAAAGGAAUUGACGGGGGCCCGCACAAGCGGUGGAGUAUGUGGUUUAAUUCGACGCAACGCGAAGAACCUUACCAGGACUUGACAUUGAGUGAAAGUUCUAGAGAUAGAAGCCUCCCUUCGGGGACACAAAAACAGGUGGUGCAUGGCUGUCGUCAGCUCGUGCCG
rnacentral:rRNA from 1 species